rnacentral:rRNA from 1 species
GUACGCUUUUUCUUUCACCGGAGCUUGCUCCACCGAAAGAAAAGGAGUGGCGAACGGGUGAGUAACACGUGGGUAACCUGCCCAUCAGAAGGGGAUAACACUUGGAAACAGGUGCUAAUACCGUAUAACAAUCGAAACCGCAUGGUUUUGAUUUGAAAGGCGCUUUCGGGUGUCGCUGAUGGAUGGACCCGCGGUGCAUUAGCUAGUUGGUGAGGUAACGGCUCACCAAGGCCACGAUGCAUAGCCGACCUGAGAGGGUGAUCGGCCACAUUGGGACUGAGACACGGCCCAAACUCCUACGGGAGGCAGCAGUAGGGAAUCUUCGGCAAUGGACGAAAGUCUGACCGAGCAACGCCGCGUGAGUGAAGAAGGUUUUCGGAUCGUAAAACUCUGUUGUUAGAGAAGAACAAGGAUGAGAGUAACUGUUCAUCCCUUGACGGUAUCUAACCAGAAAGCCACGGCUAACUACGUGCCAGCAGCCGCGGUAAUACGUAGGUGGCAAGCGUUGUCCGGAUUUAUUGGGCGUAAAGCGAGCGCAGGCGGUUUCUUAAGUCUGAUGUGAAAGCCCCCGGCUCAACCGGGGAGGGUCAUUGGAAACUGGGAGACUUGAGUGCAGAAGAGGAGAGUGGAAUUCCAUGUGUAGCGGUGAAAUGCGUAGAUAUAUGGAGGAACACCAGUGGCGAAGGCGACUCUCUGGUCUGUAACUGACGCUGAGGCUCGAAAGCGUGGGGAGCAAACAGGAUUAGAUACCCUGGUAGUCCACGCCGUAAACGAUGAGUGCUAAGUGUUGGAGGGUUUCCGCCCUUCAGUGCUGCAGCUAACGCAUUAAGCACUCCGCCUGGGGAGUACGACCGCAAGGUUGAAACUCAAAGGAAUUGACGGGGGCCCGCACAAGCGGUGGAGCAUGUGGUUUAAUUCGAAGCAACGCGAAGAACCUUACCAGGUCUUGACAUCCUUUGACCACUCUAGAGAUAGAGCUUCCCUUCGGGGCAAAGUGACAGUGUGCAUGUGUCGU